UCCCCGGGGUUAACCUGGGAUCUGCCUUUGAAACUGGUGAGUUUGAUUCUCAUAAAGAGAGGUAAAUUUCCCGGGGUACCGUUGAAUUGCUUAAAAUUCUGAAGAACUCCCGUUGGCAAAGGCACUCUCCUGGAUGAAAAUUGACCCUAAGGUGCAAAACCUGGGGAAGCAAACAGAAUUAAUUCCCCGGUUAUUCCACCCCGUAACCAAUAUCGACUUGUAUUUUGUGCCCUUAAACCCUUGCUUCCGAAGCUAACACGUUAAGUCCACCGCCUGGGGAGUACGGUCGCAAGAUUAAAACUCAAAUGAAUUGACGGGGACCCGCACAAGCGGUGGAGCAUGUGGUUUAAUUCGAUGCAACGCGAAGAACCUUACCUGGUCUUGACAUCCAGAGAACUUAGCAGAGAUGCUUUG
rnacentral:rRNA from 1 species